rnacentral:rRNA from 1 species
UCGGGAAUAUUGGACAAUGGGCGCAAGCCUGAUCCAGCAAUACCGCGUGUGUGAAGAAGGCCUGCGGGUUGUAAAGCACUUUCAGUUGGGAAGAUAAUGACGUUACCAACAGAAGAAGCACCGGCUAACUCCGUGCCAGCAGCCGCGGUAAUACGGAGGGUGCAAGCGUUAAUCGGAAUUACUGGGCGUAAAGCGCACGUAGGCGGUUUAUUAAGUCAGAUGUGAAAGCCCCGGGUUCAACCUGGGAACUGCACCUGAUACUGGUAAACUAGAAUUUGGGAGAGGUGAGUGGAAUUUCCGGUGUAGCGGUGAAAUGCAUAGAGAUCGGAAGGAACACCAGUGGCGAAGGCGACUCACUGGACCAAAAUUGACGCUGAGGUGCGAAAGCGUGGGUAGCAAACAGGAUUAGAUACCCUGGUAGUCCACGCCGUAAACGAUGUCAACUAGCCGUUGGUUCCAUUUAAGGGAUCAGUCGUGCAGCUAACGCAUUAAGUUGACCGCCUGGGGAGUACGCGCGCAAGCGUA